UUGUUGAAUUUCCAUCAAACUUGAUCGUGAAAGAUCAGGCAACGUAUUAUUUCGAUCGUGAAAGAAAAUGCGUGACCAGACUUAAUACUAGUAAUCAGAAAUCAGUAUUUCUUUUACCAUUUGAUAAAUCUGCAAGUGGUUGAAGCCUGUAACUAUUUUGAUAAGGAUGAACAUUAAAGCUAUUAUCUUUUUUUCUAUUCAACACUUUACCUCGAAAGUUAAAAAAAACAACAAGUAAUAACGUGUCUAAAUAAGUGAGAAAGAUUCAGCUCUGUGAAUCGGUCUAGUGCACUUCAGGCAGACCGACUCUAGUUAGCCAAUAAUAUGGAUAUGCAACGUUUAAACCAAAAU
rnacentral:lncRNA from 1 species